CGCCGGGCCGGGGCUGGGGCCCUCCCUGCCUCUCCAGGGCCGGACUGGCCGCCGCCCCGGCCCCACGCGCGGCCCCGAGCUCCUUCUCUUUCCCCUGCUGGCUGAGGCUGACGUUUUUCUAACUUGGGGCGACCCCUGCUUGCUGGAGUACCUCGGAGCGCCCCCCUCGACCUGCGCGAAGCCUGGCCGCGCUCCCCAAAGAACCAUCGGUGUCUGCAGACACCUUUUCCCUUAAGUUCGCUCUUGAGCAGCAGCGCUGGUUCGUUGAAGGAACAGGCGGGGGACCUGGGUACUCUUCAAGAGAAAAUGAGAACAACGUGAUUCUGAUGACGUUGUACAGGAAUCUUUUAAAUUGUGGCACGGUGGAGCAGGGCCUGUAUGUUGACCUGACGGAGAGGAACCUGCAGGAAGCUCAGAAGUUCAUUCCGAUGUACGAGGUGGGGUAGCCGGUGACCUCGGUCCCCUCCUUCAUGGAAGACAACAGCCGCUUCUCCCACAUGGUCAUCGAUGUGGUGCAGGGUAGAGACACGCUCAUCUACGUCAUCUAUCUGGCCACAGGUAGGAGUU
rnacentral:lncRNA from 1 species